rnacentral:rRNA from 1 species
GGACGAACGCUGGCGGCGUGCCUAACACAUGCAAGUCGAACGGGAUCCAUCGAAUGAGGCUUCGGCGGAUUUGGUGGACAUCUAGUGGCGGACGGGUGAGUAACGCGUGAGCAACCUGCCUUUAAGAGGGGGAUAACAUACCGAAAGGUAUGCUAAUACCGCAUAAGAUAUUAGUACCGCAUGAUACAGAUAUCAAAGAUUUCAUCGCUUAAAGAUGGGCUCGCGUCCGAUUAGAUAGUUGGCGGGGUAACGGCCCACCAAGUCGACGAUCGGUAGCCGGACUGAGAGGUUGAACGGCCACAUUGGGACUGAGACACGGCCCAGACUCCUACGGGAGGCAGCAGUGGGGGAUAUUGCGCAAUGGGGGGAACCCUGAACCGCAGCAACGCCGCGUGAAGGAAGAAGGUCUUCGGAUUGUAAACUUCUGUCUUAUGGGACGAAGAAGUGACGGUACCAUAGGAGGAAGCCACGGCUAACUACGUGCCAGCCGCCGC